UACGGAGGGUGCAAGCGUUGCUCGGAAUUAUUGGGCGUAAAGGGUAGGUAGGUGGUCUCGUUUGUCCGGGGUGAGAGCCCGGAGCUUAACUUCGGAAGUGCCUCGGAAACGGCGAGACUGGAGUCCUGGAGAGGGUCGUGGAAUUCCCGGUGUAGCGGUGAAAUGCGUAGAGAUCGGGAGGAAUACCAGAGGCGAAGGCGGCGACCUGGACAGGUACUGACACUCAACUACGAAAGCGUGGGGAGCAAACAGG
rnacentral:rRNA from 1 species